rnacentral:sRNA from 1 species
UUGUAGCCCCGAUAGAAGUGAAAAGCCUUUUGCAGGAUUGUUGCAUUUUUUCUUGGUAAAAAAGAGCGACCUUGGGAGCUACUUUUUUGCCUUAGAAAAAAGCAACAAGACAAAAAAGCUUGUAACGGAUAGCGGGAAAUAGC